GUACUCGCUUCGGCGGUACAUAUACUAAAAUUGGAGCGAUACAGAGAAGAUUAGCAUGGCCUCUGCGCAAGGAUGACACGUAAAAUGGUGAAGCGUUCCACGUUUUU